rnacentral:rRNA from 1 species
CAGUAGCCACGGGAAUACGUAGGGUGCGAGCGUUAAUCGGAAUUACUGGGCGUAAAGCGGGCGCAGACGGUUACUUAAGCAGGAUGUGAAAUCCCCGGGCUCAACCUGGGAACUGCGUUCUAAACUGGGUGACUAGAGUGUGUCAGAGGGAGGUAGAAUUCCACGUGUAGCAGUGAAAUGCGUAGAGAUGUGGAGGAAUACCGAUGGCGAAGGCAGCCUCCUGGGAUAACACUGACGUUCAUGCCCGAAAGCGUGGGUAGCAAACAGGAUUAGAUACCCGUGUAGUCCCUGUCUCUUAUAA